rnacentral:tRNA from 1 species
GGCUUUAUAGCUCAGUGGUUAGGUCACUGAUUUUUUUGUAAGUCAGUGGUUGUGAGUUCAAGUCUCCCUAGAGCCU